UGGACCAGCUCGUGCCCCAAAUGAAAUGC
rnacentral:piRNA from 1 species